UACGGAGGGUGCAAGCGUUAUCCGGAUUCACUGGGUUUAAAGGGAGCGCAGGCGGACUUGUAAGUCAGUGGUGAAAUACCUGAGCUUAACUCGGGAACUGCCAUUGAUACUAUAGGUCUUGAAUGUUGUUGAGGUUUGCGGAAUGGGUCAUGUAGCGGUGAAAUGCAUAGAUAUGACCCGGAACACCUAUUGCGAAGGCAGCAGGCUA
rnacentral:rRNA from 1 species